rnacentral:misc_RNA from 1 species
AACUUUUGACAACGAAUCACUUGGCUCUGGCAUCGAUGAAGAACGCAGCGAAAUGCGAUAAGUAAUGUGAAUUGCAGAAUUCAGUGAAUCAUCGAAUCUUUGAACGCACAUUGCGCCCGCCAGUAUUCUGGCGGGCAUGCCUGUUCGAGCGUCAUUUCAACCCUCAAGCCCCAGCCGGCUUGGUGUUGGGGACCGGCCCCGGCCGCCCCCCAAAUGCAGUGGCGACCUCGCCGCAGCCUCCCCUGCGUAGUAGCACAACCUCGCACCGGAGCGCGGAGACGGUCACGCCGUAAAACGCCCAACUUCUCAGAGUUGACCUCGGAUCAGGUAGGAAUACCCGCUGAACUUAAGCAUAUCAAUAAGCGGAGGCU